rnacentral:rRNA from 1 species
GACAGAGGGGGCAAGCGUUGCUCGGAAUCACUGGGCGUAAAGCGCACGUAGGCGGAUACUUAAGUUAGGGGUGAAAUCCCAAGGCUCAACCUUGGAACUGCCUUUAAUACUGGGUAUCUCGAGUCCGGAAGAGGUGAGUGGAAUUCCGAGUGUAGAGGUGAAAUUCGUAGAUAUUCGGAGGAACACCAGUGGCGAAGGCGGCUCACUGGUCCGGUACUGACGCUGAGGUGCGAAAGCGUGGGGAGCAAACAGG